rnacentral:rRNA from 1 species
GAGCACUGUUUCGGCUAGGGGGCCAUCCCGGCUUACCAACCCGAUGCAAACUGCGAAUACCGGAGAAUGUUAUCACGGGAGACACACGGCGGGUGCUAACGUCCGUCGUGAAGAGGGAAACAACCCAGACCGCCAGCUAAGGUCCCAAAGUCAUGGUUAAGUGGGAAACGAUGUGGGAAGGCCCAGACAGCCAGGAUGUUGGCUUAGAAGCAGCCAUCAUUUAAAGAAAGCGUAAUAGCUCACUGGUCGAGUCGGCCUGCGCGGAAGAUGUAACGGGGCUAAACCAUGCACCGAAGCUGCGGCAGCGACACUGUGUGUUGUUGGGUAGGGGAGCGUUCUGUAAGCCUGUGAAGGUGUGUCGUGAGGC